GCUACAUCUAAUCCAGAAAUUGAGAGAGAUAAUUAUGUGCAGCCAAAAAUACAUAUUUUACAAACAUUAUUGUUCUCAAAGCUGGUCACUUACUAAUAAGAAAACCACCAGCAUUAUAUGUUAAACUUAAUGUGUGCCUUUUUCUUCACAACAGUGUCUCAUCGACAUAAGCUGCCACGACGAUAAAGUUAGGAUCCUGUUGCUCUCUCUCACACACACACAUAAGAAAAGAGGCAUCAGACAGAUUGAAUUUCGAAAUAAUGAUUUAACUUAACUCUUGUCUUCCUCUAUCUUUGAAGAACUGAACUUGACAUUAACCAAAUCUGCAGCAAGUCGUGCAGCAGCAGAUGCACGCUCUGCAGCAGAAAUAGCAGAACGGGCUCUCUCCAAUACAUCUGAUGUUUCUGGUCUUGUAUCCUUUUUUAUAUCGACUGCAUCAGCCAAAGUGCUGUCGCUAUGUGAUGGUUUAUCUAUAUUGGCGGGCCAUAGAGGUGCUUUAGUAACAGAGGUUGGAGAAUCAAGACUCUUAGCUCCUCGAUUGCCAUUUGGAGACGUCACAGGAUUUUCAGAAGUUGGUGGAUGACCACGAGUAUUUGGUUCUAGAGAUGCCCGAACAGGUGCAGCAAUUUGCUUUGGUCCAUUCAGAAGGUCCUCCGGGUUUUUACUUAAUUCUGCUUCUGUGUAAGAAGAAUCCCAUUCCACGUUGUACUCUUUUGCAAUUUCCUUCAGUACAUUGAGCUUUAGUUCAGCUGAUGGAGCACCAACUGAAAGUUUCUCUACAAUUGUACGGUUAACACUUGUAUCAGGCCGAAGCUCAGAUGCUGCGGCUAUAAAUUCCUUUCCGUAUUUAGCUGCAAAUAGAUUCCUGACAUGCAAUAGAUCUGGCAAAUCUGAACAUCUUGGAGCUGCAAAGAUUAUACUUGCAACAGCUUCCCGCAACUCUGAGGGGCAUUCCUUUUGGCUUUCAAGGAUAGGGACACGGGCAAAAACAAACUCGCAGAACAACUCCAAAAUCUCAUAGGCAGCCCAUACAUUUUGCUCGCGUAUAAUAUGCUCAACCCUAAUUCGAGCUAUGGCUUCCUGGCCUGUUUGCAGAAAUUGGGCUAUCUCCUUGCGCAUAAGUCUGAGCUGUGCAUCUCUCUUGUUUUGUAGUAAUUUGAUUCGUGAGAUUGCCAAGGUCAAGCACGUCUUGCACUUUGAGCCUUGAAGUCCCCUGUUGAAGAGUUGAUUCAGCAUCGACAUGAGUCGAAGAACUCCACAAAAUUGUGGCAAUUGCUUAAAUAUAUAUCGCAAUUCACAAUUUUGCUAAGAAUUUUGAU
rnacentral:misc_RNA from 1 species